CCUACGGGAGGCAGCAGUGGGGAAUAUUGGGCAAUGGGCGCAAGCCUGACCCAGCAACGCCGCGUGAAGGAAGAAGGCUUUCGGGUUGUAAACUUCUUUUCUCAGGGACGAAGCGAGUGACGGUACCUGAGGAUUAGGCAACGGCUAACUACGUGCCAGCAGCCGCGGUAAUACGUAGGUGGCAAGCGUUAUCCGGAUUUACUGGGUGAAAAGGGCGUGUAGGGGGGGACACAAGUCAGAUGUGAAACCCACGGGCUCAACCUGUGGCCUGCAUUUGAAACUGUGUCUCUUGAGUGCUGGAGAGGCAGACGGAAUUCCUAGUGUAGCGGUGAAAUGCGUAGAUAUUAGGAAGAACACCAGUGGCGAAGGCGGACUGCUGGACGGCAACUGACGGUGAGGCGCGAAAGCGUGGGGAGCAAACAGGAUUAGAUACCCCGGUAGUC
rnacentral:rRNA from 1 species